UGGUGGGGUGAUUUGUCUGGUUAAUUCCGAUAACGAACGAGACUCUCUCCUGCUAACUAGUACACAGAUAUUUGAACACCUCUGGUGCUCUAUAGUCUGUGCUGACUUCUUAGAGGGAUUCGCGGUAUUCAAACCGCACGAAAUAGAGCAAUAACA
rnacentral:rRNA from 1 species